UUUUGUUCUUCCAAGUUGAGCAGCUAUGGCUAUCACGUGCUGAAGGUGGGAUACCAGUCGUCAUAGCCUUUUUCCAUACAAAUGUCUCUGCAGAUAUGAGAAGGAAAUGCAUGAACAAGCAUGUUUUUUUGGGGUACACAUGAAC